rnacentral:rRNA from 1 species
CACAUGCAAGCCGAGCGGUAGAGAUCUUUCGGGAUCUUGAGAGCGGCGUACGGGUGCGGAACACGUGUGCAACCUGCCUUUAUCAGGGGGAUAGCCUUUCGAAAGGAAGAUUAAUACCCCAUAAUAUUUAGAAUGGCAUCAUUUUAAAUUGAAAACUCCGGUGGAUAGAGAUGGGCACGCGCAAGAUUAGAUAGUUGGUGAGGUAACGGCUCACCAAGUCUGCGAUCUUUAGGGGGCCUGAGAGGGUGAUCCCCCACACUGGUACUGAGACACGGACCAGACUCCUACGGGAGGCAGCAGUGAGGAAUAUUGGACAAUGGGUGCGAGCCUGAUCCAGCCAUCCCGCGUGAAGGAUGACGGCCCUAUGGGUUGUAAACUUCUUUUGUACAGGGAUAAACCUAGAUACGUGUAUCUAGCUGAAGGUACUGUACGAAUAAGCACCGGCUAACUCCGUGCCAGCAGCCGCGGUAAUACGGAGGGUGCAAGCGUUAUCCGGAUUUAUUGGGUUUAAAGGGUCCGUAGGCGGAUCUGUAAGUCAGUGGUGAAAUCUCACAGCUUAACUGUGAAACUGCCAUUGAUACUGCAGGUCUUGAGUGUUGUUGAAGUAGCUGGAAUAAGUAGUGUAGCGGUGAAAUGCAUAGAUAUUACUUAGAACACCAAUUGCGAAGGCAGGUUACUAAGCAACAACUGACGCUGAUGGACGAAAGCGUGGGGAGGGAACAGGAUUAGAAACCCUGGUAGUCCACGCCGUAAUUGAUGGUAACUCGUUUUUGGGAUGCAAGUUUCAGAGACUAAGCGAAAGUGAUAAGUUAGCCACCUGGGGAGUACGUUCGCAAGAAUGAAACUCAAAGGAAUUGACGGGGGCCCGCACAAGCGGUGGAUUAUGUGGUUUAAUUCGAUGAUACGCGAGGAACCUUACCAAGGCUUAAAUGGGAAAUGACAGGUUUAGAAAUAGACUUUUCUUCGGACAUUUUUCAAGGUGCUGCAUGGUUGUCGUCAGCUCGUGCCGUGAGGUGUUAGGUUAAGUCCUGCAACGAGCGCAACCCCUGUCACUAGUUGCCAUCAUUAAGUUGGGGACUCUAGUGAGACUGCCUACGCAAGUAGAGAGGAAGGUGGGGAUGACGUCAAAUCAUCACGGCCCUUACGCCUUGGGCCACACACGUAAUACAAUGGCCGGUACAGAGGGCAGCUACACAGCGAUGUGAUGCAAAUCUCGAAAGCCGGUCUCAGUUCGGAUUGGAGUCUGCAACUCGACUCUAUGAAGCUGGAAUCGCUAGUAAUCGCGCAUCAGCCAUGGCGCGGUGAAU